ensembl:miRNA gga-mir-1701 gga-mir-1701
UAUAAUAGCCGUGGCUGGUUAGUUGGUUGUUUUUUCCUCUGGGAUGCAGUUGGCAUAGCUCUUCCUUUGCUCUGAUA